rnacentral:rRNA from 1 species
GGGUUGUGAGGUUAAGCGACUAAGCGUACACGGUGGAUGCCCUGGCAGUCAGAGGCGAUGAAGGACGUGCUAAUCUGCGAUAAGCGUCGGUGAGGUGAUAUGAACCGUUAUAACCGGCGAUUUCCGAAUGGGGAAACCCAGUGUGUUUCGACACACUAUCAUUAACUGAAUCCAUAGGUUAAUGAGGCGAACCGGGGGAACUGAAACAUCUAAGUACCCCGAGGAAAAGAAAUCAACCGAGAUUCCCCCAGUAGCGGCGAGCGAACGGGGAGGAGCCCAGAGCCUGAAUCAGUGUGUGUGUUAGUGGAAGCGUCUGGAAAGGCGCGCGAUACAGGGUGACAGCCCCGUACACAAAAAUGCACAUAUUGUGAGCUCGAUGAGUAGGGCGGGACACGUGGUAUCCUGUCUGAAUAUGGGGGGACCAUCCUCCAAGGCUAAAUACUCCUGACUGACCGAUAGUGAACCAGUACCGUGAGGGAAAGGCGAAAAGAACCCCGGCGAGGGGAGUGAAAAAGAACCUGAAACCGUGUACGUACAAGCAGUGGGAGCCUCUUAAUGGGGUGACUGCGUACCUUUUGUAUAAUGGGUCAGCGACUUAUAUUCUGUAGCAAGGUUAACCGAAUAGGGGAGCCGAAGGGAAACCGAGUCUUAACUGGGCGUUAAGUUGCAGGGUAUAGACCCGAAACCCGGUGAUCUAGCCAUGGGCAGGUUGAAGGUUGGGUAACACUAACUGGAGGACCGAACCGACUAAUGUUGAAAAAUUAGCGGAUGACUUGUGGCUGGGGGUGAAAGGCCAAUCAAACCGGGAGAUAGCUGGUUCUCCCCGAAAGCUAUUUAGGUAGCGCCUCGUGAAUUCAUCUCCGGGGGUAGAGCACUGUUUCGGCAAGGGGGUCAUCCCGACUUACCAACCCGAUGCAAACUGCGAAUACCGGAGAAUGUUAUCACGGGAGACACACGGCGGGUGCUAACGUCCGUCGUGAAGAGGGAAACAACCCAGACCGCCAGCUAAGGUCCCAAAGUCAUGGUUAAGUGGGAAACGAUGUGGGAAGGCCCAGACAGCCAGGAUGUUGGCUUAGAAGCAGCCAUCAUUUAAAGAAAGCGUAAUAGCUCACUGGUCGAGUCGGCCUGCGCGGAAGAUGUAACGGGGCUAAACCAUGCACCGAAGCUGCGGCAGCGACGCUUAUGCGUUGUUGGGUAGGGGAGCGUUCUGUAAGCCUGUGAAGGUGUGCUGUGAGGCAUGCUGGAGGUAUCAGAAGUGCGAAUGCUGACAUAAGUAACGAUAAAGCGGGUGAAAAGCCCGCUCGCCGGAAGACCAAGGGUUCCUGUCCAACGUUAAUCGGGGCAGGGUGAGUCGACCCCUAAGGCGAGGCCGAAAGGCGUAGUCGAUGGGAAACAGGUUAAUAUUCCUGUACUUGGUGUUACUGCGAAGGGGGGACGGAGAAGGCUAUGUUGGCCGGGCGACGGUUGUCCCGGUUUAAGCGUGUAGGCUGGUUUUCCAGGCAAAUCCGGAAAACCAAGGCUGAGGCGUGAUGACGAGGCACUACGGUGCUGAAGCAACAAAUGCCCUGCUUCCAGGAAAAGCCUCUAAGCAUCAGGUAACAUCAAAUCGUACCCCAAACCGACACAGGUGGUCAGGUAGAGAAUACCAAGGCGCUUGAGAGAACUCGGGUGAAGGAACUAGGCAAAAUGGUGCCGUAACUUCGGGAGAAGGCACGC